AAAACGGGAAGGCAGCAGGCGCGCAAAUUACCCAAUCCCGAUACGGGGAGGUAGUGACAAUAAAUACUGAUACAGGGCUCUUUUGGGUCUUGUAAUUGGAAUGAGUACAAUUUAAAUCCCUUAACGAGGAACAAUUGGAGGGCAAGUCUGGUGCCAGCAGCCGCGGUAAUUCCAGCUCCAAUAGCGUAUAUUAAAGUUGUUGCAGUUAAAAAGCUCGUAGUUGAAUUUUGGGUUUGGCUGCUCGGUCCGCCUAACCGCGUGCACUGAUGCGGCCGGAUCUUUCUUUCUGGCUAACCUCAUGCCCUUCACUGGGUGUGCUGGGGAUCCAGGACAUUUACUUUGAAAAAAUUAGAGUGUUCAAAGCAGGCCUUUGCUCGAAUACAUUAGCAUGGAAUAAUAAAAUAAGACGGGGGUGUCUAUUUUGUUGGUUUCUAGAGCCACCGUAAUGAUUAAUAGGGAUAGUCGGGGGCAUCAGUAUUCAAUUGUCAGAGGUGAAAUUCUUGGAUUUAUUGAAGACUAACUACUGCGAAAGAUUUUGCCAAAAAAA
rnacentral:rRNA from 1 species